GCAGUUUGAUAUUGAGUGUUUGUACCACAUGUACAGGAUAGGUAGGAGCCUUAGAAGUCGGGACGCUAGUUUCGACAGAGGCGCUGGUGGGAUACUACCCCUGUGUUAUGACCACUCUAACCCGCACCACUAAUCGUGGUGGGAGACAGUGUCAGAUGGGCAGUUUGACUGGGGCGGUCGCCUCCUAAAGAGUAACGGAGGCGCCCAAAGGUUCCCUCAGAAUGGUUGGAAAUCAUUCGCAGAGUGUAAAGGCACAAGGGAGCUUGACUGCGAGACCUACAAGUCGAGCAGGGACGAAAGU
rnacentral:rRNA from 1 species